UACGGAGGGUGCAAGCGUUAUCCGGAUUCACUGGGUUUAAAGGGAGCGUAGGUGGGUUGGUAAGUCAGUGGUGAGAUCCCCGAGCUUAACUUGGGAACUGCCAUUGAUACUAUCAGUCUUGAAUACUGUGGAGGUUAGCGGAAUAUGUCAUGUAGCGGUGAAAUGCUUAGAUAUGACAUAGAACACCAAUUGCGAAGGCAGCUGGCUACACAAAUAUUUGACACUGAGGCUCGAAAGCGUGGGGAUCAAACAGG
rnacentral:rRNA from 1 species